AGUGAACGCUGGCGGUAGGCCUAACACAUGCAAGUCGAACGGCAGCACAGUAAGAGCUUGCUCUUACGGGUGGCGAGUGGCGGACGGGUGAGGAAUACAUCGGAAUCUACUUUUUCGUGGGGGAUAACGUAGGGAAACUUACGCUAAUACCGCAUACGACCUACGGGUGAAAGCAGGGGAUCUUCGGACCUUGCGCGAUUGAAUGAGCCGAUGUCGGAUUAGCUAGUUGGCGGGGUAAAGGCCCACAAAGGCGACGAUCCGUAGCUGGUCUGAGAGGAUGAUCAGCCACACUGGAACUGAGACACGGUCCAGACUCCUACGGGAGGCAGCAGUGGGGAAUAUUGGACAAUGGGCGCAAUCCUGAUCCAGCCAUACCGCGUGGGUGAAGAAGGCCUUCGGGUUGUAAAGCCCUUUUGUUGGGAAAGAAAAGCAGCAGGUUAAUACCCCGCUGUUCUGACGGUACCCAAAGAAUAAGCACCGGCUAACUUCGUG
rnacentral:rRNA from 1 species